ensembl:lncRNA
UUCAGUUUGGAAUCCAGGACUGUCUGCUUUGGCCAAGGGCAUUGGGCAGACCCAUCUUCCUUCUCCUAUACACCUCUGCUCUGCUGGUGGCUCUCAAACUAAGUGCUUCUCAAACAUUGUUGUUUGCACAAGUCACCUAGGAAUCCUGUUAAAUGAAAGAUUCUGUUUCAGUAGCUAUGGGUGAGGCUUGCGUGCUCAGUCGCUCCGGUUGUGUUCUACUCUUUGCGACCCCAUGGACUGUAGCCUGCCAGGCUCCUUUGUUCAUGGGAUUCUCCAGGCAAGAAUACUGAAGUGGGUUGCCAUGCCUUCCUCCAGGGGAUCUUCCAGAACCAGGGAUAGAACCGAGUUCUCCUGCAUCUUCUGCACUGCAGACGGAUUCUUUACCAUUGAGCCACUGGGGAGUCUUAAGAUGCAGCAUUUCUGACAAGAUUCCAGGUGUGCAGUUUCCCCAAUACCACUUUUUAAGGAGAUUGUCUUUUUCCCAUUGUAUUUUCUUGCCUUCUUCAUCAUAGAUUAACUAGCAAUACAUGCAUUGAUAUAUUUGGGAGCUCUCUACUCAGUUCCACUGAUCUAUGUGUCUGUUUUUGGGUGAGUACCAUACAGUUUUGAUUACUAUAACUUUGUAGUAUAGGCUGAAGUUGUGGACCGUAAUACCUCCAGCUUUUCUUUGUUAUUGUUCAUUUCUAAUUUAGUUAUAUUAAGAAAUGUUGUCUGUAUUGUAUGAUUUUAUUAUUUGAAAUAAUUUGAGACUUCUCUUGUCACCUAAUGCAAUGUCAGAAUCAAUUUUAAAAAUAAUUUAAAAAUAAAUGUUGCAUUUAAAUUUGUAAAGGAUAUGUUAUUUAUUUUGUGGGUUCAGAAUUACCAUAUCUGUUAGGUCAACUUGCUAAUUAUGUUGCUUUUUAUUAUUAUACUUUUAAAAUUUGCUUGAUCUAUUGUUUUUUAAUAGAGCUAUAUUAACAUUUCCUGCUGUUAUUGUAAAUUUUAAAAUUUUCUUUGAAAUUUUCAACCUUUUUAAAACUUUAUACAUAUUGAGCCUAUAUAAUUUAUUUAUUUGGUUUAUAUUUUGAGCUUAUUCUGGUUAUCUCUCACUGUAAAAACAAAGCAUGCUUUGUGGUAAAACACAUAAUAUUUUUAUUAUGCUCAUGAAUUCUCAGUCAAGAAUCUGUGCAGGGAACACUGGGGAUUGCCUGUCUCUUCUCAAGAACCUGUCGGACCUCAGUAAUGAAGAUGCAAAUGACUUGAAUGGCUGGGCACUGGAAUCCCCUGGAAACUUCUUCACAUGAAGUCUAGAGCUUGAGCAGUGGUGACUCAAAGGCCAAGGCUAAUGUCCAAGAGACCCACACAUGGCCCUUCAUGAGUCUGACCUUUUCAUGGCAUGGCAUUCAGCUGGGUCCUGAGAGGGAGUGCCCUGAUGAGGAGAGUCUGGAGAGCAGACAUUUCAAGAGAAUAAGCAAUAAAACCCAACCAAGCCCCUCAGAAAUCUCAUAGCAUCAGUUCUAUUUCAUCUUACUGAUUUCUAGCCAGAGACUAAAGCCAACUCAGUUUCAAGGACAGGGAAAGCAAAUUCUGUCCUCAUGGGGAGUGGCAGGGUCACACUGCAGAAGAGUAUGUGGGAUGGGAGAUACUUUUGUGGCAAACUUUGGAAAAUACAAUCUGCUUCAGAGUCUAUGCUGUUUGGUGCAUAUUUGUAGCAUUUAUUAUUCCAUAUUUUCUGUUUGAAUGUUCUUGUUUUUAUUAUGUUGUAGUCCUCCCUUACUUUUAUUAAUCUUAAUUUUUAUGCAAUUAAUAUUGCCUACUUAGUUUUCUUUUUGGUAAUAUCUACAUGAUGUACUUUUUGUUCUUUUAUUUUUCUAUCUUUCUUAUGGCUUUAUUUUAGAUUCAUCUUUUUAAAACUCCUUAUAAUCUCCAUGACUUAAUUGGUAAUUGUAAUAAUAUAGUUUGUUUACAUGUAUUUUGAUUACUAAUAUACUUUAGUCAAUUCCACUAUCUUGGAAGAAUGCCUGGCAUGUAGUAGUUUCUCACUAUUAGUUACUGCUACCCUGAUGCUGGGAAAGACUGAAGGCAGGAGGAGAAAGGGACAACAGAGGAUGAGAUGGUUGGAUGGCAUCACUGACUCAGUGGACUUGAGUUUGAGCAAGCUCUGGGAGAUGGUGAAGGACAGGGAAGCCUGGCGUGCUGCAGUCCAUGGGGCUGCAAAGAUUUGGACACAACUGAGCGACUGAACAACAACAACUACUGCUGUUACUGCUGCUACUACGAUCACUACAAAUAUUAUUCUUGAAUUCCAUUUCAGAGCCCUUAAUCAUGAAACCAGAGAUAACUUUAUCAUUUUCUUCUUACUUAUUUCCCAAACUUCUCUACCGAAAAAUAUUGUACUGACAUCUCUGUUUGGUAAGGGUGUUCUUCAGGGACUUUCAGUGUUUCCUGAUAUCUGGUGGGGGGAAGACAAUUUUGUUCCUGGACCCAUAACCAUGGGGAAUUUUCAGCACAGGCCCAAUGUCAGAUAUCCUGAUUAAGAACAUAAGUUUAGAAUUAUUUUAGCACUCACUAACUGCUUGACUUUAGACAAGUUACUUUCAGAACCUUAGUUUUCACAUGUGGAAUCUGAAGAUGUUGAUUACAAUGAAAAGUAAAUGAAAUAAUGUGGCAUGCUUAUCACAGUGAUUUUAAGUGGAAAAUAACGGUUAUUAGUAUCAUUUCCAGGAACGCUUUUUGAAGGUUAACUCUAAGUCAUGCCCUAAGCUGAGCCCUGGGUACUGCAUUCAAGAACUUGCUAGUGGGCAAAGAAGUAAGCCUUCAGUCCCAUCUUCCCCAUAGGAACACACACCUCGUCAGGAUUUCUCCUUACAUGAUCUGCAGGUAGCCUUUACCAUCUUAGUUUCAUGACAUGGAGUUGAUUCAGAUAUCUUUUCCCAGCAGUGGUCUCAUUUAUGGUAUGAGCAUAUGUGCUGCCCAUUGUGAGGUUUCUAAUCAUCUUCUCUGAAGAUGAGGCUUAGCAGCAUGCAAGGGCCUCAAUGGGUAACAGAAGGGCGAACAUGCUUGCUUGAAACAAUUUAACCUUAUUCUUUCUGCCAGUGAGUUUCUUCUUCAGGGCUUAUGGGUUCAUCACAUUUACAGGGUGAAGUGAGGCUAAAAUUCAACAGCUUUCUCCUCCAUCACUCAUGCACCUUCUGGGCUGGGCUGCACCAGGCAGGGAUGGGGGCUACUUCUGCUUAGUAAAGUCCCCAAAGUAUCAGAAAUAAGCAGGAUGUGCUAGGGAAGGUUGACUCAUGCUAUCACAUUCCUUCUUUCUCUCAUUGAUGGUGGAAGUGUCCAUGGUUCUGAUGAAUGUCAUAGAGUUGGAAGGCUGCUUGGAGCUAGAGCUGCCUCCCUCUCCCUUUCAGCUGUUUUUGUCUUCCUGUAGUCUUAGCGCAGUUUCAUCCAAGGUGGGACUGACAAUAUGUGUGGACAACUAUUGUGUGUCCUCAGAUGUAACGCCCUUCCUCAGAGGCUACCUGAUUCUCUGUGCAUCACCAUCCUCCGCCAGCCAUGCUUUUUACAAUACAAGUGUCCCUUGGAAUGGGCACAUUUUUUCUCAAGCUUGUUGGCAGUCUGUGCCAGGCUUAGAGUAGGUGCGGCCUUUGGAAGGAUUACACAUUAGUAAAGUCCAGUGAACAGCCUGUCAACUGAACUGGCACCAACAGUGUUUCCAAACAUGUUGCUGAGGAGCUACCAAGAGUCCUGUCAAAUUGGGAAGAGCACGCCAACACUUGUUUCAAAUUAAGUAUAUGUAGUACACUAGUCUUUCCCAUGUUCUGUAUUUGUACCAUACAAAUCCCUUCUUUUGCCCUUAAAUAUCUUCAAAAUAUUUUUUUAUAUAAAGGCACAGCUUUCCUUAACAUUCUGACAGUUUUACAAAGAUACGAUUAAUAUUUAUCGAUUACCUAAACACUUGCCAGUUAUCCACGCACUACUUCAUUCAAUCUGCACAACUCUAGGUGAGGUAGUGCUUAUUGCCUUUAGUUUACAGAUGAAGAAAUGGAAGUGAGAUGAAAUAAAUUGCCCAAAGUCACACAGCUAGAAACAGAACGUUCAAAUAAUAUUCCCAAGGUCACAUAGAACUUAAAUGUUAUCAUGGAGGCUUGAACUCAGGUCUUGUGAUUUCAGAUAAAAUACUCUUGCUGUAGCCUAUGACCAGCCUUUCAUUUCUGUUUCAUAAGUCACUUAAUCUUGCCUGGUUAUUCACCAUAAUUAAUCGAAUACUAAUCUUAUCUUCUCUAUUCACCCUUGCAUGUUGACAAGCACUGGUUGACUGGCUCUGUGAUCCAGGUGGGCGUUGACUCACUACUUCCCAAGACCUCUUCUCAUGGGGGCCUCUUUCCUUGUUCCUACUUUACUUUCUACUUCCCUUGUAAUUAUCUGAUUAAUAUCACUUUUUUCCUAGACCAUAAACUAUGCUCACUGCAUAUGCACAGUGCUGGAUACACUGCACGUGGUCAGAAUUUUUUUUAUCAAAUGAAUGAUUGAAUAAAUGAAUAAGCCCCUCCACCUGACACUCCUGUCCAUAUUCUUUUGAUUUUGCCUUUCUGAUUUUAUCGACUGUUCCAUUUUAACUUGAACCUUCUGCUCUAGCUUGCCUGGUCUUGUUCCUUACUAACAUGCUCCUUGUUCUUAUCAUUAUCCUUUUCUCUUAUGAUGUUAGCCCUGCUUGAGAUAUCCUUUCUGUCCCAUGCACAUAAAUUUUUUCCCCCUCCAAUGCUGAUCAGCUCUCCAGGCUCCCAUGAAGUCUUCUUUGAACGUUCAGACCAUUCCAGACCACUAUCUUCCUUUUUGUAUGGCUAGCCAUCUUUAUUCACCUCUCCAAGCAAAAUGGCAACCUCCUUGAUUAAAAAUACAUAAUAUUAGUUUUGUGCAUUCCUCUGCAGGCCAGGUAGUGAAUAACUAAUAACUGGUAAGUGAUAAAUGAUGAUUGCACAUGAUUUGCUGGUUCAACCACUCAGCAAUUGGGGAAAUGGUCAUAUGUGUAACAUCUCUAAAACUACAUGCCUAAUGGUAGUGAAAGAGAAAGUUGCUCAGUCAUGUCCAACUCUUUGUGACCCCAUGGACUAUAUAGUCCAUAGAAUUCUCCAUGCCAGAAUACUUGAAUGGAUAUUCAAGUAUUUCCCUUCUCCAGGGGAUCUUCCCAACCCAGGGAUCAAAACCAGGUCUUCCACAUUGUAGGUGGAUUCUUUACCAGUUGAGCCACAAGGGAAGCCCAAGAAUACUUGAGUGGGUAGCCUAUCCCUUCUCCAUCGGAUCUCCCUGACCCAGGAAUUGAACCCGGGUCUCCUGUAUUGCAGGCAGAUUCUUCAUCAACUGAGAUAUCAGGGAAGCCUCGAGGUAAGAGAGGCAUAAUAACAUCUACCUUGUAAGGCUGUUUUGACAAUUAAGUGAAAUAAACCCUGUAAAGAACUUAGCACCUUGAUCAUAUUUGUUACAUGCUCAAUAAAUGAUAUUCAGGAUAGGCCAGGUUAUACUGAAGAAAUAAGCAAG